CCAGUAGAACUUUCCAGAGAGUGGAUUGGUGCCUUCGGGAACUCUGAGACAGGUGCUGCAUGGCUGUCGUCAGCUCGUGUUGUGAAAUGUUGGGUUAAGUCCCGCAACGAGCGCAACCCUUAUCCUUUGUUGCCAGCGGUUAGGCCGGGAACUCAAAGGAGACUGCCAGUGAUAAACGUGGAGGAAGGUGGGGAUGACGUCAAGUCAUCAUGGCCCUUACGAGUAGGGCUACACACGUGCUACAAUGGCGCAUACAAAGAGAAGCGACCUCGCGAGAGCAAGCGGACCUCAUAAAGUGCGUCGUAGUCCGGAUUGGAGUCUGCAACUCGACUCCAUGAAGUCGGAAUCGCUAGUAAUCGUGGAUCAGAAUGCCACGGUGAAUACGUUCCCGGGCCUUGUACACACCGCCCGUCACACCAUGGGAGUGGGUUGCAAAAGAAGUAGGUAGCUUAACCUUCGGGAGGGCGCUUACCACUUUGUGAUUCAUGACUGGGGUGAAGUCGUAACAAGGUAAGCGUAGUGCU
rnacentral:rRNA from 1 species